UCACUGCUGGUAAUCAACUUUCACAAGACUCAGCUGGGGUUUCUCAGCUCUCUGCUGAGCUAAACAAGGCACUCCUCUUCCUCUUGUUUGCACGGAUCAUUGACUUCUUUCUCAACUGGCUGCCAUUGGGACAAAUCCUCCUCAGUGGACCCGUCGGUUAUAUCCAGUCCUCACCAGCCUCAAUUUACGACCUUGAGCAGCCACUCAGCCCCUGUUGAGCUGGUAACUGCAGGACCCAUGCAAGCGCUGUGAACUCAGAAAAAAGGACAGGCAACGUUACAACCACAACGAGAAUACAGAUACAAUGUCUGUCCUAUGGUCAAUGCAAACUGCUGUGUGGGGGUAGACUGUGGCAGCCCAGGGGUCAGCACUCACCCCCUCCCUUUGAGAAAAAACUGAGCCUUGCCUGAGCACGCAGCAGCCUGCAUGACAGAGCAGACACUGAAGGUCACUGAGACUUAUCACUGUUAGUAAUCAACUUUCAUCAGACUUAGCUGAGGCUCCUUUGUAACCAAAUAUAGUGAGGCUCUGCUGAGCUAUAGAAAGCACUCCUCUUCCUGUUGUUUGCAUGGGAUCGACUUCCUCUCCCAGCUGCCACUGGGAAAAAUUGUCCUGUAAGUUCCUAUUAA